UUCAUAAAUCUAUAAAUCUUACCAAUUUCUUCAAAUGAGCAGCUUGCUCUUUGUGAAAGUCAAGCUUAUGCAGAGAAGUUGGACGGUGUUUGUCAACCCAAAGACUCAUUCUUAAACCUCUUAGAUUUCUGUUUUCGUUUUAAGUUUUCCCCGCGCAAUAUUCUGGGUGUAAAAGGUUAAAAUGAGCAAACGUAAGUUGUUUCAUUUUAAAAACGCAUGAGCGAUCUCAAGAAAUAGCUGUAAAAAGAAAACAAUGUCCG
rnacentral:lncRNA from 1 species